UAAAAUCUGUGCAAUAGUUUGAUGGUUUGUAAGUGUAGUGUAUUUUAGCAUUGCAUUAGAUAAAAGCUGAGUGAGGAGAAUUACGGUCCGAGCUUAGAAAGUAAGAUAGUACUCCCCGUGUAAUUCUACUUCAAAGAAACUCUAAGGUCUCUUCAAAGGAAUUUAAUGGACCUUUGGGGUUUUUACAGUUAGCCCCCUCAUGGGUGACCACUCGGGGUUAUCCCCAGGGGUUCUGUUAAAAAAUCUGCAUUUAUUGGUUUAUUGCACCCAAAUAUUCAAUAUUCACAGACUUCCCGGGCCAGAAAGGGGGAUGUGGCAUUGGUGAGGAACAGAAAGGAAAGUCCCUGGUGGAAAGAUGAGGGCGGGACCUCCUGUCCACACUCAUAGGGAAGGAGGAUUGUUUUAAGGAGAGAACAAAGUUUUUGGGGUUCGUUGCAGGUGUGGAUGCUUCAACGCAACAUACGAUCGGACUUGUAGCUUGCAGCUGUGACACCUCUUAAAAUAAUCAGCCCAAACUUGAGUCUCUGAGAGUGCUUCCUCCUUCCUGAAAAAAAAAAAAAAAAAACAACUUCAAGGCUCUUCAAUGCUUUGUAUGUGAUUCAAUAAAGGUGGUCGAUUUGAAGAACUGUCUCAUCUAUUGUGACAACCAACAGCACAAUAGGUCUCGGGCAUUGUGAAAAAUCUGCUCCGGUUCAACGACUCCCGCACUGCCGAGCAGCUUUGUUUGACCGGCAAUAUAGCAACGUGAAAACCGUGACGUCACGUGUACAAGCUCUAUAAGACUGUCUGUUCCUGGAAAUCCUUGCCAAAGUAUUGCAGCUUCUCCAAGCGUGUUUCCCCAUUGUUCCUGUUCUACAUCAUCCCUGCCACACCUCCAACAACCCAGCCGCCUGCCGACACAACCCUGGACCACCUCAAUUACUUUCAUAAUAAACUGUGCAUCAUAAUCUAUCUGCCGCCUCUUACUCUUGGGUCUAGGUCCUUUGUAUUUGUGAAAAGUUGGUGUGGAAGAUGGUAUUGAAUUUUGAAUAAAUUUUAAAUAAAAAGCUCUGCAAAAUUAACAAAUUCCUUUACUAUUCUUACUCACUUUGUAGUGGUUAGAUAAAGAUAAGACGUGUGCUCUAAAAAAUGUCGGUGUUGGUCAUGCAUUGACAAGUAUUCCACAGAACGUGUCCCAUUUGUCAUUUAUAAAUAAAACCAAGCAUUCAUAAUUGUAUGUAUCACACUGUACAGUAUGCUUCGCCUUUUGGUGUCUACAAUUGGUGACGGCUCAAUAAAUA